rnacentral:tRNA from 1 species
UGCAGAAGUACUCAAGUGGCUGAAGAGGUGCCCCUGCUAAGGGUAUAGACGGUUUGCGCCGUGCGAGGGUUCAAAUCCCUCCUUCUGCGU